AGGGGUAUAGCUCAGGGGUAGAGCGCGUGCUUGGCGUGCAUGAGGUCCUGGGUUCAAUCCCCAGUGCCUCUG
rnacentral:tRNA from 1 species